GACAACUGUUUGAAACAAACAGAGAAAUAUCCCCCAGAAAGUGUCUGUUGAAGAGAAUCAAGGUACACAGUCUGGUGAAUCAUUCAUCGCUCCACUUGAGCAACACCAGACAGUCCAAAUUCAGAAUCUGAGAUCCUAGGUAGAAGAUCAAGGACAACAGAUCAAGGAUAUGAAGAAAAUUUUAAAGGAAAAAGACAAGGAAAUUGUAAAGUUGAGGGAGGAACUUAAGAAAUGUCAAAGAUUUAAUGUGACCAGUGUCUUAGUGAGAUCAGGGAAACUAAACGGCCUGUUUAAAUACUACACAGGCAUUACUUAUGUCAGGUUUCUUGCCAUAUUCAGUUAUUGGCCUUCCUUCUGCCAGGUGAUCAGGCAUCAUGUUUGAAUUAUGAAAAAGGUCAUCGUGACAUUAGAAAGUUAUCUACUAAAGAUUGCUUGUUCCUGACUAUGUUGACUGUGCCACAGUUUUGGAUAAAAAGACCUCAGUAUGCGUUUUGGACUGUCAUUGCAAUCAGGUGGUGUAAUAUUCAAUACCUGGAUUGAACACGUGAACUUGAAAAUGGGCCAGUAAAGUAUAUGGCCACAUAAAAGUAUAAUCCUUCAAAUUAUGCCUGCAAAAUUUAGAAAGGAAUAUCCUUCAUCCAUGAUGAUUAUUGAUGGGACAGAACUGAAGACUCAAGUACCCUGUGCUUUAGGGUUACAGUCUCAGCUAUACAGUGACUAUAAGUCAAGUACUACCUUAAAGUGUCGUGUAUGUUGUGCCCCUUGUGGUUCAUUGACAUUUGUUUCUGAAUUGUUUACAGGUUCAAUUUCAGAUAAAGCUUUAACUGAUCAAUCAGGAUUUUAUGAUGCUGUACGAGGCAGGUACAAGAAUAGAUCGAUGUUGUUGCAUCCUGUGAUAUGAAUGUGAUACUAGUCUCUAUGAAAUAAAUAUAAUUUCAGUUA